AAAUUCCAUCGGAAAAGGGAAAUCAAUUACAAAGAGAAACAAGGAAACUGUAAAAUGAGCAAGAUUCUGAAAGGGAACAAAAGGAAAAAUAGAGCAGGCAAGGGGGACAUGACACUCUCAUGAACCCUUAUAGGGGCUGUAUGCAGUAGAGACUACUAUUACCUUCAUUUCAGCAAUUUAGAAAAAAACAAUUGAAGGAAAGAGAGAUUAAGUAACUUGUCCAAGUUUUAUGGAACUAAAGUAGAUGAGUAAUGGAUGCACCAAGGGGACCUCUGGAGGCUUUAGAGCCCCCAUUCAAUGUCCAUCCCAUUCAAUGUCCAUCACCACCUCACCCCCAGACUUUGAAAUGAGUAAUUGAUGUUUUUUCAGUCUUGUGUAAACAGCCCUGGGGCACAGCCUCAAAGCUCCAACACCUACCAUGCCAACACAACAUCACCAUACAAUCAUUCCAGCCACCGCUUUGUGGAAAUGAGCAGCCCAGAAACCGCUCUGUGGAAGUGAUCACCCAGACACUGCCCUGUGGAAGUGAGCGCCCCAAACACUGCUCUGUGGAAGUGAUCAACCAGACACUGCUCUGUGGAAGUGAGAGUCCCACAUACCACUCUGUGGAAGUCAGCACCCCAGACACCGCUUUGUGGAAAUGAUCACCCCAGACGCUGCUCUGUGGAAAUGAGCACACCAGACACUGCUCUGUGGAAUGAGAGCCCCAGACACUGCUCUGUGGAAGUGAUCACCCAGACACUGCUCUGUGGAAGUGAGCGCCCCAGACACUGCUCUGUGGAAGUGAGAGCCCCAGACACUGCUCUGUGGAAGUGAUCAACCAGACACUGCUCGGUGGAAGUGAGCGCUCCAGAUACUGCUCUGUGGAAGUGAGCGCCCCAGACACUGCUCUGUGGAAGUGAUCAACCAGACACUGCUCUGUGGAAGUGAGCGCCCCAGACACUGCUCUGUGGAAGUGAUCACCCAGACACGGCUCUGUGGAAGUGAGCGCCCCAGACAUUGCUCUGUGGAAGUGAUCACUCAGACACCACUCUGCGGAAUUGAGUGCCCCAGACACUGCUCUGUGGAAGUGAUCACCCAGACACGGCUCUGUGGAAGUGAGCGCCCCAGACAUUGCUCUGUGGAAGUGAUCACUCAGACACCACUCUGCGGAAUUGAGUGCCCCAGACACCGCUCUGUGGAAGUGAGUGCCCCAGACACUGCUCUGUGGAAGUGAUCA
rnacentral:lncRNA from 10 species